CCCCUGCAGUGUUCGUGAUGGUCCAGGAGUCUUGGUUUGAACCAACGCUUUACCUAAGUGAGCUGCGAUGUUUCGUGGUGUGCACGCCUCCGCGCGAGGUAGCCUAAAGCGAGACUGGUUGUAUUCAGAGCGGCUCCACCUGCUUUGAGCAGGUUCAUCCGACCUCCCCACACGGCAACGCGGGGCUU
rnacentral:other from 1 species